rnacentral:rRNA from 1 species
UGGGGGAUAUUGCACAAUGGGCGAAAGCCUGAUGCAGCGACGCCGCGUGGGGGAUGAAGGCCUUCGGGUUGUAAACUUCUUUUGCUCUGAACAAGGCGCACCAUGGGGUGUGUUGAGUGUAGGGGUUGAUUAGCGCCGGCUAACUACGUGCCAGCAGCCGCGGUAAUACGUAGGGCGCGAGCGUUGUCCGGAAUUAUUGGGCGUAAAGGGCUUGUAGGUGGCUGGUUGCGUCUGUCGUGAAAGCUCAUGGCUUAACUGUGGGUUUGCGGUGGGUACUGGCUGGCUUGAGUGCAGUAGGGGAGGCUGGAAUUCCUGGUGUAGCGGUGGAAUGCGCAGAUAUCAGGAGGAAUACCGGUGGCGAAGGCGGGUCUCUGGGCUGUUACUGACACUGAGGAGCGAAAGCAUGGGGAGCGAACAGG